rnacentral:rRNA from 1 species
GACGAACGCUGGCGGCGUGCCUAACACAUGCAAGUCGAACGGACAGGCCCUGCUUUUGUGGGGUGCUCGAGUUGCGAAGGGGUGAGUAACACGUGUGUAACCUGUCCUUGACUUUGGGAUAACUUCAUGAAACUGAGGCUAAUACCGGGUAGGAGCUCCUGCUGCAUGGUUGGGGUUGGUAAGUUUAGGCGGUUGGGGAUGGACUCGCGGCUUAUCAGCUUGUUGGUGGGGUAGUGGCUUACCAAGGCUUUGCCCGGUAGCAGGCCUGAGAGGGUGACCGGCCACAUUGCGACUGAGAUACGGCCCAGACUCCUACGGGAGGCAGCAGUGGGGAAUAUUGCACAAUGGGCGGAAGCCUGAUGCAGCAACGCCGCGUGCGGGAUGACGGCAUUCGGGUUGUAAACCGCUGUCGCCUGUGACGAAGCGUGAGUGACGGUAAUGGGUAAAGAAGCACCGGCUAACUACGUG